rnacentral:rRNA from 1 species
CAGGGUGACAGGUGGUGCAUGGUUGUCGUCAGCUCGUGUCGUGAGAUGUGGUUAAGUCCCGCAACGAGCGCAACCCUUAUCCUUUGUUGCCAGCGGUCCGGCCGGGAACUCAAAGGAGACUGCCAGUGAUAAACUGGAGGAAGGUGGGGAUGACGUCAAGUCAUCAUGGCCCUUACGACCAGGGCUACACACGUGCUACAAUGGCGCAUACAAAGAGAAGCGACCUCGCGAGAGCAAGCGGACCUCAUAAAGUGCGUCGUAGUCCGGAUUGGAGUCUGCAACUCGACUCCAUGAAGUCGGAAUCGCUAGUAAUCGUGGAUCAGAAUGCCACGGUGAAUACGUUCCCGGGCCUU